rnacentral:rRNA from 1 species
GACGAACGCUGGCGGCGUGCCUAAUACAUGCAAGUCGAGCGAAGUUUUUCUGGUGCUUGCACUAGAAAAACUUAGCGGCGAACGGGUGAGUAACACGUAAAGAACCUGCCUCAUAGACGGGGACAACUAUUGGAAACGAUAGCUAAUACCGGAUAACAGCAUAAAUCGCAUGAUAUAUGUUUAAAAGUUGGUUUCGGCUAACACUAUGAGAUGGCUUUGCGGUGCAUUAGCUAGUUGGUGGGGUAAAGGCCUACCAAGGCGACGAUGCAUAGCCGACCUGAGAGGGUGAUCGGCCACACUGGGACUGAGACACGGCCCAGACUCCUACGGGAGGCAGCAGUAGGGAAUCUUCCGCAAUGGGCGAAAGCCUGACGGAGCAACGCCGCGUGAGUGAAGAAGGAUUUCGGUUCGUAAAGCUCUGUUGUUAGGGAAGAAUGAUUGUAUAGUAACUAUAUACAGUAGAGACGGUACCUAACCAGAAAGCCACGGCUAACUACGUGCCAGCAGCCGCGGUAAUACGUAGGUGGCAAGCGUUGUCCGGAAUUAUUGGGCGUAAAGCGCGCGCAGGUGGUUUAAUAAGUCUGAUGUGAAAGCCCACGGCUCAACCGUGGAGGGUCAUUGGAAACUGUUAAACUUGAGUGCAGGAGAGAAAAGUGGAAUUCCUAGUGUAGCGGUGAAAUGCGUAGAGAUUAGGAGGAACACCAGUGGCGAAGGCGGCUUUUUGG